UUAAAGGCCCUUUUAAGGGCCAUCAAUUAUUCUGAAGAACAGAAUUU
rfam:Oryzias latipes DNA, chromosome1, strain: Hd-rR.